rnacentral:rRNA from 1 species
UACGUAGGGGGCAAGCGUUGUCCGGAAUCAUUGGGCGUAAAGCGCGUGUAGGCGGUUCGGUAAGUCUGCUGUGAAAGUCCAGGGCUCAACCCUGGGAUGCCGGUGGAUACUGUCGGACUAGAGUACGGAAGAGGCGAGUGGAAUUCCCGGUGUAGCGGUGAAAUGCGCAGAUAUCAGGAGGAACACCGAUGGCGAAGGCAGGUCUCUGGGCAUUAACUGACGCUGAGGAGCGAAAGCAUGGGGAGCGAACAGG